UACGUAGGGCGCAAGCGUUGUCCGGAAUUAUUGGGCGUAAAGAGCUCGUAGGUGGUUUGUCGCGUCUGCUGUGAAAACCCGAGGCUCAACCUCGGGCCUGCAGUGGGUACGGGCAGACUAGAGUGCGGUAGGGGAGACUGGAAUUCCUGGUGUAGCGGUGGAAUGCGCAGAUAUCAGGAGGAACACCGAUGGCGAAGGCAGGUCUCUGGGCCGCAACUGACGCUGAGGAGCGAAAGCAUGGGGAGCGAAC
rnacentral:rRNA from 2 species